rnacentral:rRNA from 1 species
GACGAACGCUGGCGGCGUGCUUAACACAUGCAAGUCGAACGAUGACGCCCGAGCUUGCUCGGUCUGAUUAGUGGCGAACGGGUGAGUAACACGUGAGCAACCUGCCCUUCACUCUGGGAUAACCUCGGGAAAUCGGGGCUAAUACCGGAUAUGAGCUCCUGUCGCAUGGCGGGGGUUGGAAAGUUUUUCGGUGAAGGAUGGGCUCGCGGCCUAUCAGUUUGUUGGUGAGGUAGUGGCUCACCAAGGCGAUGACGGGUAGCCGGCCUGAGAGGGCGACCGGCCACACUGGGACUGAGACACGGCGCAGACUCCUACGGGAGGCAGCAGUGGGGAAUAUUGCACAAUGGGCGAAAGCCUGAUGCAGCGACGCCGCGUGAGGGAUGACGGCCUUCGGGUUGUAAACCUCUUUCAGCAGGGAAGAAGCGAAAGUGACGGUACCUGCAGAAGAAGCGCCGGCUAACUACGUG